UACGGAGGAUUCGAGCGUUAUCCGGAUUUACUGGGUUUAAAGGGUGCGUAGGUGGAAUGUCAAGUCAGUGGUGAAAACCUGCAGCUUAACUGUAGAACUGCCAUUGAUACUGUCAUUCUUGAGUGCAUUUGAUGUAAGUGGAAUGUGUCGUGUAGCGGUGAAAUGCUUAGAUAUGACACAGAACACCCAUUGCGAAGGCAGCUUACAAAACUGCAACUGACACUGAGGCACGAAAGCGUGGGGAUCAAAC
rnacentral:rRNA from 1 species